rnacentral:rRNA from 1 species
UACGUAGGGAGCGAGCGUUACUCGGAAUCACUGGGCAUAAAGGGCGUGUAGGCGGGUGCGUAAGUCCGUUGUGAAAUCCCUCGGCUCAACUGGGGAAUUGCAGUGGAUACUGCGUGUCUUGAGUGUGGGAGGGGAGAGUGGAACUCUUGGUGGAGCGGUGAAAUGCGUAGAUAUCAAGAGGAACGCCGGUGGCGAAAGCGGCUCUCUGGCCCACUACUGACGCUGAGGCGCGAAAGCUAGGGGAGCAAAC